CCUACGGGCGGCAGCAGUGAGGAAUAUUGGUCAAUGGACGAGAGUCUGAACCAGCCAAGUAGCGUGAAGGAUGACUGCCCUAUGGGUUGUAAACUUCUUUUAUAUGGGAAUAAAAUGUUCCACGUGUGGGAUUUUGUAUGUACCAUAUGAAUAAGGAUCGGCGAACUCCGUGCCAGCAGCCGCGGUAAUACGGAGGAUCCGGGCGUUAUCCGGAUUUAUUGGGUUUAAAGGGAGCGUAGGUGGAUUGUUAAGUCAGUUGUGAAAGUUUGCGGCUCAACCGUAAAAUUGCAGUUGAAACUGGCAGUCUUGAGUACAGUAGAGGUGGGCGGAAUUCGUGGUGUAGCGGUGAAAUGCUUAGAUAUCACGAAGAACUCCGAUUGCGAAGGCAGUUCACUGGACUGCAACUGACACUGAGGCUCGAAAGUGUGGGUAUCAAACAGGAUUAGAUACCCUUGUAGUC
rnacentral:rRNA from 1 species